rnacentral:rRNA from 1 species
GUGGGGAAUCUUGCGCAAUGGGCGAAAGCCUGACGCAGCCAUGUCGCGUGAAUGAUGAAGGUCUUAGGAUUGUAAAAUUCUUUCACCGGGGACGAUAAUGACGGUACCCGGAGAAUAAGCCCCGGCUAACUCCGUGCCAGCAGCCGCGGUAAUACGGAGGGGGCUAGCGUUGUUCGGAAUUACUGGGCGUAAAGCGCACGUAGGCGGCUUUGUAAGUUAGAGGUGAAAGCCCAGGGCUCAACCCUGGAACUGCCUUUAAGACUGCAUCGCUUGAACACGGGAGAGGUGAGUGGAAUUCCGAGUGUAGAGGUGAAAUUCGUAGAUAUUCGGAAGAACACCAGUGGCGAAGGCGACUCACUGGACCGUUGUUGACGCUGAGGUGCGAAAGCGUGGGGAGCAAACAGGAUUAGAAACCCCGGUAGUCC